rnacentral:rRNA from 1 species
UACGAAGGGGGCUAGCGUUGCUCGGAAUCACUGGGCGUAAAGGGUGCGUAGGCGGGUCUUUAAGUCAGGGGUGAAAUCCUGGAGCUCAACUCCAGAACUGCCUUUGAUACAGAAGAUCUUGAGUAUGGGAGAGGUGAGUGAACUGCGAGUGUAGAGGUGAAAUUCGUAGAUAUUCGCAAGAACACCAGUGGCGAAGGCGGCUCACUGGCCCAUAACUGACGCUGAGGCACGAAAGCGUGGGGAGCAAACA